CUCCAGGCACUGCUGGCUGUGAGUGUGAGCCACUGUAAAUUAGGGGCAGAGGGCACUUGCAUUGCGGUAAAGACGGGUCUGGGCAGGAGGAGAGUGCAGUGCAAUCAGUGCACUCCCCUCCUGUGGGUUACCAGUAGACUGGUGCACUUGCCCAGGAUCAGAGCCGGUGCAAGGAUUUUUGCUGCCCUAGGCAAAAGAAAAAUUUGCAGUCCCUCAUGUGACAUGACAAUGCCCCACCCAUAUGAUCUUCCAUAUGAACUAACGCCAGUGCUGCACACAGUGUGUGUUUACAUUAAAAAGCCUGCAGGGACCAGCUAUAGACACCAGAACCACUUCAUUAAGCUGAAGUGGUUCUGGGGGCUAUAGUGUCCCUUUAAUGUGAGGUAAAU